UACGAAGGGGGCUAGCGUUGCUCGGAAUCACUGGGCGUAAAGCGCACGUAGGCGGACUCUUAAGUCAGGGGUGAAAUCCUGGAGCUCAACUCCAGAACUGCCUUUGAUACUGGGAGUCUUGAGUUCGGGAGAGGUGAGUGGAACUGCGAGUGUAGAGGUGAAAUUCGUAGAUAUUCGCAAGAACACCAGUGGCGAAGGCGGCUCACUGGCCCGAUACUGACGCUGAGGUGCGAAAGCGUGGGGAGCAACA
rnacentral:rRNA from 1 species